CAAAGGAAUUGACGGGGGCCCGCACAAGCGGUGGAGCAUGUGGUUUAAUUCGAUGAUACGCGAGGAACCUUACCUGGGCUCAAAUGUAUGUUGACGUAUUCUGAAAGGGAUACUUCUUCGGACAAUAUACAAGGUGCUGCAUGGUUGUCGUCAGCUCGUGCCGUGAGGUGUCGGGUUAAGUCCCAUAACGAGCGCAACCCCUAUCAUUAGUUGCCAUCAGGUCAAGCUGGGGACUCUAAUGAAACUGCCUACGCAAGUAGUGAGGAAGGUGGGGAUGACGUCAAAUCAGCACGGCCCUUACGUCCAGGGCUACGCACGUGCUACAAUGGCCGGUACAAAGGGCAGCUACCUGGUGACAGGAUGCUAAUCUCAAAAGCCGGUCUCAGUUCGGAUCGGAGUCUGCAACUCGACUUCAUGAAGCUGGAAUCGCUAGUAAUCGCAGAUCAGCCAAGCUGCGGUGAAUACGUUCCCGGGCCUU
rnacentral:rRNA from 1 species